rnacentral:rRNA from 1 species
CAGCAGCCGCGGGAAUACAGAGGGUGCGAGCGUUAAUCGGAUUUACUGGGCGUAAAGCGUGCGUAGGCGGCUAAUUGAGUCGGAUGUGAAAUCCCCGAGCUUAACUUGGGAAUUGCAUUCGAUACUGGUUAGCUAGAGUGUGGGAGAGGAUGGUAGAAUUCCAGGUGUAUCGGUGAAAUGCGUAGAGAUCUGGAGGAAUACCGAUGGCGAAGGCAGCCAUCUGGCCUAACACUGACGCUGAGGUACGAAAGCAUGGGGAGCAAACAGGAUUAGAUACCCGAGUAGUCCCUGUCUCUUAUAC